rnacentral:miRNA from 1 species
CUGUGAGCUUUGAGUCGGCAGC